UUGUAGGGAAAUCUGUUUCUAUCAACUUUUUGAGUGAGACAGGAAAAGCCCCUCCACUCAGGCUCUGAUGGCUAUCAAACUGGGGUUGGGAGAAGGUGGGGAUAGGCCAGGGGAUGUGGAGAGACCAGGUGUCCCUAUUUGACCUGAAAUUUGCCUCCUUGACCAAGGGUGACCAGUGGCUAUGGGCAGGUGGGAAACUUUGAGAGUCUGAUGAUGUAUUGGUCCAAACAGCCUAUGAGGUAGACAAACAACAUCACUGGUGAGCACAGAGGGGCCAGAGUGACAGGGCCGCCCACCCUCUUAAGCCAUCAGAAGGUCUUCGGCUUUGACUCCUAGUGAAAUGGGCUAACUGGCUGUGGGGAACAGAGGAGUGACAGAGAUGGCUUACAUGUUAACGGGAUCACUCUGGCUGCUAUGCUGAGGAUACACUAAAAUUGGACAUGAGUAGAAGAAGCAAAACCAGUUAAAAACACUACUGCAGGAAUGCAAACUACAGACAGUGAGAAAUAAUCAGAUUUUGGGUAUCAUUUUGAAGGUAGAGCCAACUAGAUUUGCUGACUGGGGCUUAUAAGAAAGAGGAGUUGAGGACAAGUCCAGAGUUUUUGAUCUGAGCAAUUCCAGAAUGGAAACAAUAUUUAAUGAGAUGGGGAAAAUCACCAGGAGAAGCAGGCUUGGGUUGAAAAGCAAGAGCUCCAUUUGGGACAAAAUAAGUCUGAGAUGCCCGUGAGAUUCCAAAUGGAGAAGCUGAUUUCAGCCGGGUAAGACUGGUAUGGACUUCUGACAUAGAGAAUUGUAAGAUAAUGAACGUGUGUUAUUAAGCUACUAAAUGUGUGAUGUUGUUAUGGCAGUGAUGGAAAACUAGACCUGCUGUCUGCCAGACCAGUUAACAGGACUUGUAAGGCCUGGCAAAUGUGCUUGCCAUCCUGCCCAAGACCUGGUGCUCUUGCUCCCAUAAUUGCCCUCUACCCUUCUCUUCUGGUUUCUGAACUUAAGAGCAUUUUUCCAUGUAUCUGCAUCCUUGGCCUGAUCCCAGCCCCAUCCCCUAAAUAGACUAUCCUGCCAUAGAAUAUCCUGUCAUGCUUUUAGCACAUUAUUUUCAAUGCGUAUUCAAAGUAAAGUUCAAAUAAUUCCAAUUUCAGAAGCAGAGGCCAUUUCAUUGCCCCGAAAGUCCUCACAUUCAUCACCCCAAUCAGGUGUGAAACUACACUAUUUUUAAAGAUCUUCAGAAAAGGCUAUUCAACACCUUCCCUUUCAGAAAUGACAUUUUCAAAUGUGUGAGACAAACAUAAGUUUGACCUAUCAACCAGCAAGUAGUUUACCAUUCCUAUACAGUCCUGUGAGGAAAAGAGAAAUAAGACUAUCUAUCCUUCCCCAACAGGAGCUAGGGCAACUGAAAUUUAAAGUGAACCCAUAAUAAUUAAAUGACAAACCAUAACAACUAUAAAUGUCCUAAGACAAUGUGUAGUAGCAUGGCCAAUAAAGGAUAUGGGCUCCAAAUGCCUAGGAUAUUAGAGGGAGAUCACUUCUGACUAAGUGAGACAAUGAAAAGUAUCUGGUACCCAUAGUCCAGGGAGGAAAUUCAAAUCAACUUCUAGCCAUCUUGGAUGGGACAAAGAAGGCAAUUCCAAGAACUCAUCCAAAUGUGGAAAUGGAGAUAUCCUAACAUUUCUCAAGUGCUGUAAUAAAAUAUUCAAAAUAUUUAUCUGGUUUCAACUUCUCUUUACAGAUAGGCACUAUCUUCAUCUGAGUCUGAUUAAUUGAAAAGCACUCCUUGGCCAAAUUCUUCUCUUCCCAAAAGUCAGCUUAUAAUGUGACAAAAAAUUUCUUUAAGCUCAGACUUCCAAAGAAGUUUAGAGAAAAUUUCACUAGUAAAAUAAUUCACAAAUAGUUAUUAAGUACCCAUGAGCCAGGCAUGGUACUAGGCCCUAGGGAGAGAAAGCCAAAUCCACACUCAAUUUAGUCCUCAUAAUCAUUCUGCGAAGUAGGUGUUAUUAUCACCUUUUGUAGGUGUGGAAACUAAGGCAUAGCAGUUAAUAGCUUACGCAGAGUCCACAGUUAGAAACUGUCAGGGCCAGCAUUUGAACCCAGGCAGAGGAAAGACAAGUAAACAAAUCAUUACAAUAUGAUAAGUGCCCUAUAUAAUAAAGGUUAUGUUCAAGGAACGGUUGAAUUAUCAACCGUUAAUUUAGUUACUAAUCUAAUCAGAUUUUUCGAGGUUUUUGUCACCUAAACUCCAUGUUCUCAGAGGGAGUCUCUCUUUCAGGAUUGGGCUACACAUGUGAUGGGAUUUAAAGAAGCACUCUAAGAGGAUGCAUCCCAACUGAAGAUCAACACAUGCUGGAAUUGGAUUCCCUAUCGAUCCAACACCAAAGUCUGCAACUAUUUCUCUGGGAGAAAAAGAGAAAGCGACUUCUCAAAGAGCUCUCUGAAUCACUUAUUUAAGGACGCUCCACUAAGAAAAGGAGAGUGGCAAUGGCAAGGGCCAGAGCCUUGAUGUUCUCAUCAAAGUGACCCCUGAACUAAACAGAAGUAAACCAGGGUGAGGAUUAUGUCUUAUCUUUCUUCCUUCCCAAUCUGCAUCAAUUUGUGGCACUCAUCAGAGAAGCCGUGUUGAAAAAUCUUUGGACUGGAAUCAGAAAGUCUGAAUUCCACUAUUUAGCAGCUGAGUGUCUUUGAGCAAGUCCCUAGAGAACUUUGAGCUGAGGCUUCUUUAGUUAUAGGGACCUCAUUUUCUUGAUCUAUAAAGUGGCAAGGUGGGAAUGAAUAAUCUCUGCUAUCUCAUGCAGCUCUAAUAUUCUAUGACUUCACAAUUUCCAAAUAAGUGAUUUUGGGUUUGUACCUCAAACUGAGAGGCUAACCUCUCCAUGCAAAUUAGCUAGAGCAAACAGUAGAUUAUUCUGGAGUAUGAACCAAAUGGCUGGAGCUUUGAGGGCAUUUUAUUGCCAAUAUUUUGUAGAAGGUCUUAAGGUCUAUGAAAAGAUGCUAGUUGCUGUGGUAAUGCCUCUGUUAAAGAAGAUGAGUUCCAGUGACAGAGCAAUUGUUUGGAUGCAUGUUAAUGGAGCAUGUCCAGGUUCUUACCUUGAAAUGCAAACUUAUGGCUUUUCUGGUACACUUAGACUACACUGCUGCUUAUUUUAGGAAGAGGAAAAUCACUGAUGCUUGGAUUGCUAGCAGUAUCUAUGAGUGCAGCAUUAGUUCCCAAUGCUAAUAGCUACUUUAGCAAGAGGUGAGCUUGAGCCUCCCAAAUGUCAGUCAUUACCACCUUGGCUGCCAAAAACUUUUCUUUCUGGAGGGGACUGAGGAAAAGAAAUAAAUUUUCACUAACACUUUGGAUCUACUGGUCUUUGGAGCAAAGGCUAGCAGUCACUCUUCUUUGAUUACUAGAGCUAUUCUCUUUGGCCUUCUUUAGGCUAACAAGUUCCAAAGUUCCAGAAUCCCUAAAUCUGUCCCCAGUCACUCCUUCCUGCCCCAUAGAGGGAGUGCCUCCUCCCCUUUCCUGAAGAAGUUUAUGGGGUAAAACUGCAUCCACAACUUGAUAACAUAACUGCUUUGACACAUAUCAUCUCUUUGCACAUCCUUGGGCAUGGUCAGCUGAGUUCUGUUGAAGAUGGCUGACCCUUUCCUCAGUCAAUAACUGGGAAAUGGCAGAGAAAAAACAACUGUCAGUAGCUCUUGGAUUGUGGAAAGACUUGCACCUCUGGCCGGUGCAAGAAAAUCCCAAAGCCAGGCAUCUUCAUUUUGAUUUUGCCACCCCCCCACUGGAUAACUUUAGCAAAUUAUUCAAUCUCCCUGCACCUCUUCUUCCCAUGCAAACUGAGCAAUCUCUUUCUCGUGGGCCUUCUCUGAAGCACUGCUUAUGGAAUGCUGGUUAUUCAGCUUUUUCUAUGGCACCAAAAUGUUAAUAGUAAAUAUCAUUGGGUCAUUGACAUAUGGGUAAUAACUAUUUUACUUGCUUCUUUAUACCUUUUUGCAUUUUCUAAAAUGUCUACAGGGAGCACAAAUUAUUUCUGUAACAAAAAGGAGCAUACUUUGCCUAUUUUUUGACUUGAAAAUGUAAAUAAGUAUUGAAAAGUUUGCCUUAACUUUCAAGGAUGUGUUUCCUUCCUCCAGCGUAUUUGUUGACUGUGGAAUUCUUCAACAAGUUGGCAGUUAAAGGUGGUGUCUUGGUUAUAAAACUAGGUUCCCAUGAGAUUAAUACAAGAAGAAUGCAAGAAAUUCCCUUCCCAAUUAUACACCUUUCUAUUGUAAGCACAAAGCUGGGGCUAGUACUUUCACUUUCUCAGGCCACCAUGUGCCCAUGAAACACCCCAUGAUUAUAGUUUCACUUCAGCAUAGACCAAGAGUAGGGCUUACUGAUAAAGCUCGCAAGAUAGGAGUGAGAUCCACCCUCUAUCUCUUGCAGAAAGGCUUAGGCUAUAAGAACCUGAGAGAACAGGCUCUUCCUCAUCUCAAGGUCUUCAUUAUCUGAAAAGAACAUCUGUGUUAGACUUGACGUAAAGGGGAUAAAAACAGUCAACAUAUGAAGCUUCUGGAUUCAGAAAACCUAGAUUUCUCCAACAAGAUAUUUAACUUAAACCAUUUAUCAAAUUAUAUAUCAAAGAACUGCUGGGCUGAAAUCUCUUUCAAUUAUGUGAUUUUAACCAAUACUUUCAAGCAAAUAAUUUUAUGGUAGCAUUAUCUACCAUAAAGAAA